GUCUUUGAGCUCCUUUCUGUUCAACUGGUGGCAGUUUACGGAUUCGCAGAAGACAGUUCACAGAACUAUCAGUACUUUACCUUCUGCUUUUACAGAGGUAUAUUUAGUUGUUUUGGGGGGGAGGG
rnacentral:snoRNA from 1 species